CGGGGCGGGCCGACCGGUCUGCCGAUGGGUAUGCACUGGCCGGCGCGUCCUUCCACCCGGAGACCGCGCCUACUCUUAACUGAGCGGGCGCGGGAGACGGGUCUUUUACUUUGAAAAAAUCAGAGUGUUUCAAGCAGGCAGUCGCUCUUGCAUGGAUUAGCAUGGGAUAAUGAAAUAGGACUCUGGUGCUAUUUUGUUGGUUUCGAACACCGGAGUAAUGAUUAACAGGGACAGUCAGGGGCACUCGUAUUCCGCCGAGAGAGGUGAAAUUCUCAGACCAGCGGAAGACGAACCACUGCGAAAGCAUUUGCCAGGGAUGUUUUCACUGAUCAAGAACGAAAGUUAGGGGAUCGAAGACGAUCAGAUACCGUCGUAGUCUUAACCAUAAACCAUGCCGACUAGGGAUUGGAGGAUGUUCCAUUUGUGACUCCUUCAGCACCUUUCGGGAAACUAAAGUCUUUGGGUUCCGGGGGGAGUAUGGUCGCAAGGCUGAAACUUAAAGGAAUUGACGGAAGGGCACCACCAGGAGUGGAGCCUGCGGCUUAAUUUGACUCAACACGGGGAAACUUACCAGGUCCAGACAUUGUGAGGAUUGACAGAUUGAGAGCUCUUUCUUGAUUCGAUGGGUGGUGGUG
rnacentral:rRNA from 1 species